rnacentral:lncRNA from 1 species
UUUUUCUUUUUUUUUUUUUGAGGAAGUCGUGUAUUGCUAUGAAUUUUCCUCUUAGGACUGCUUUUGCUGAAACCAGAGAUUUUUGUAGUUUGUAGUUGUGUUUUCAUUGUCAUUUGUUUCAUGGUAUUUUUAAAUUUCCUCUUUGAUUUCAUCAUUAUCCAGUUGAGUUUUUAGUAACCUGUUGUUUAGUCUCCAUGUAAUUCUUUUUUUCUCAUUUCUCUUUCUGUAGUUGAUUUCUAGUUUUAUACCAUUGUGGUCAGAAAAAAUGCUUGAAAUAAUGUCUCUGUUAAAUUCAUUAAGGCUUGUAUUGCAUCUUAGUAUGUGCCCUGUCCUAGAGAAUGUUCCAUGUACACUUGAAAUGAAUGUGUAUUCUGGGUUUUUUGGAUGUAGUGUCCUGAAAAUAUUAAGUCUAACUUAAUAUUGUGUAAUUUGGAAUCUCUCUUGCCUUAUUGAUUUUCUGUCUGGGAAAUCUGUCCAUUGAUAUGAAUGGAGGGCUUAAGUCUCCUACUGUUAUUGUAAUCCCAUCCAUUUCUCCUUUGAGACUGUUAGUAUUUGUUUUAUGUAUUUGGGCACUCCUAUGUUGGGUACAUAUAUGUUGCUGAGUGAAAUAUCCUCUUCUUGAGUUGAUCCUUUUAUAUAGUGUCCUUUAUCUUUCUUUAUGGCCUUUGCUUUAAAGUCUAUUAUGUCUGAUAUGAGCAGUGCAACUCCCACUUUCUUGUCAUUUCUGUUGCAUUAAAUGUUUUUUUUCCAUCCCCUCACUUUCAAUCUGUGUGUGAUCUUCACCCUAAAAGAGUCUCUUGUAGGCAGCAUAUAUAUUGUAGGCUCUUCUUUUUUAUGUAAGGCCACUCUGUCUUUUGAUUGGAACAUUUAGUCCAUUGAUAUUUCAGGUGAUUAUUGGUAGAUGUGUAUCUGUUGCCAUUUUUAAUCCUUGUUUUUCAGUUGAUUUUGUAUUUCUUCUUUGUUCCUUUUUUUGUUUUUCCUUCUGUGGUUUGAUGGUUUUCCUUUUUAUUAUGCUUGAGUUCUCUUAUUUUUAGUUUUGGUGAGUCUGUUUUAUGUGUGUGAUUUUUGGAUACUCUAUUUUUCUAGUAUGUUAAUGCAUUACCAAAUAACUACAUGCUUUAGACUGUUAGUCAUAUAAGAUGAAACACAUUCUUUCAAAAAAAAAAUCUACAUUUUCUUACUCCCCUCCUCCACAGUUUGAUUUUGAUGUCCUCUUUAACAUCUUCAUGUUUAUCCUUUUACUGUUCAUUGUAGUUUCAUCAAUUUCACAAAUUUUUUUUUUGAUCUGUGUAUUGGCUUAUUUCUGAGUUUCUAUUUCCUAUAGACUCUUGCUUGUUUCCUAUUUAUAGAAGAUCUUUCAACAUUUCUUUUAGGAUAGGUUUAGUAUUGCUGUAUUCUUUUUCAGUUUUUUGCUUGUCUGAGAAAUUCCUUGUCUCGUCUUCUAUUCUAAAUGAUAAUCUUGCUGGGUAGAGUAUCCUAGGUUGCAGGUUUUUUUCUUUUAGUACUUUGAAUAUAUCUUGCCUCUCCGUUCUGGCCUGUGACUUUUCUGUAGAGAAAUUAGCUGAUAGGCUUAUGGGGAUUCCCUUGUAACUAACUCUUUGAUUUUCUCUUUUAGAAUCCUCUCGGUACCUUUUAACUUUUGCCUUUAAAUUAUAAUAUUUCUUGGUGUAGUUAUGUUUAGUUCAUCUUGUUUGGGACCCUUUGUCCGUCCUGUACUGGAUAUCUGGUGGCAUCUUUAAAUUUGGGAAGUUUUCAACCAUACACUCUUCAAUAUGCAUUUCUCUUUAUUCUCUUUCUGGGAUCCCUAUUAUGCAUAGAUUGGCUAGCUUUAUAUUAUCCCAUAGGUCUCAUAUAUUGCUUUUAUGUUUUUUUUCAGUUGUCUUUCUGUCUGCUGUUCUGAAGGGAUGAUUUCCAUUAUUCUAUCAUCCAGAUUUCUUACUCAUUCUUAUGCAUCGUUUAGUUUGCUCUGUAUUGCUUUUAGCUCAGCCUUUGUCUCAACAAAUGAGUGUUCUAAUUUUAAUUGGCUCCUCUUAAUAAUUUCUAGUUCCUUGCUACAGUGAUCUGUAUUUCUAUUGAUAGCCCUUCUUAAUUCCUUCAGUAUUUUUAUUACCUCCUUUAUGAAGUCAUAUCUAGUGACUUAGGUCUGAUUUAUUGCUUGUUCUUUUUUUUUUUUUUUUUUUUUUUGUCUUUUGUCUUUUCUUUUUAGGGCCACACUCGCAGCACAGGGAGGUUCCCAGGCUAGGGGUCUAAUCGAAGCUACAGCUGCCAGCCUACACCACAGCCAUGCCAGAUCUGAGCCACAUCUGUAACCUACACCAUAGCUCACAGCAAUGCUGGAUCCUUAACCCACUGAGCAAGGCCCAUAACCUCAUUGUUCCUAGUUGGAUUUGUUUCCUCUGUGCCACUACAGGAACUUCUAUCAUUUGUUCUUUCAGAGGAUUUGUCUCAUUCUUUUAAUUGGGAAUGAUUCCUCUGCUUCUUCAUUUUACUUAUAUUUCUCUGACUCUCAAUUUAGGGGAAACAGUUACCUUCUGUGGUCUUGAAGGGCUGUUUAUAUGUGGGAGCAUCUCCAUGUACCCUGUGUGAGUCUGUUUUUGGUACAAGGGCUGUUUUUGGUAUAGAUGCCUACCACAUCUUUCUGCAGUGUGUGUUGGCCAUGAUUCCUUUGGUGGGGGUGUUACUGGUGUUGUGGUGACCAGAGUCUGCACUGGAUAUUGAGUGGGGCCUCCUCUUUGCUCUGUGGCUGCCACAGUCCUGUCAGGGACGAGGUUGUUGUUGGAGUAGAAGCCCUCAGAUUCAUUUCUGAGCAGUGGCGUGGGGUAGGCAGAACUGGAGCUCUCCCAGUGGGAAAGGCCCACUGAGUAUUCCUCCACAGGAUCUGUCCAUCAGGCAGUGCAUCCUGUGGUGUUAGCUGUCACCUGUUGUUGGCCCUGCCUCUGCUUUUGGAAUGCAGACAGCUGGCCCCAAUAUCCCUCAGGCACUGUGCUCAGAAAUCCACCAGCUUAGAUCUCCUGGUGCAUAUUUCCUGAAGCCAGGCACCAGCUCUGCCAUGUGUUUCACAUGUCACAUACCUGGACCUGCCAUGAGGGCUAUGGAAUCAGCACAGACCCUGGCCCUGCCUCAGCAUAUGUGCACCCACAAAGCCUGCAGCUGCUAAGUCUGGACCCACACCAGCCACAGGGAGCACUACUCUGAUGUCCUGCAGGUGCUGAGCUUACAAAGGUGCCAGGUGGCAUAAAUCCACCAAAGCCACUGGACAAGAUGGAUUUCAGCCCCACCUCCACGUUUGGCCAUCACUAGUAGAGGCAGAGCUGCACCUGCUGUGAGCACACUGAGAUAAGGCUACUGUGGCAGGGCCCCACCCCCCUCUUCACGUGCUUGUUAAAAAUGGGGCUUCUAUGGUAAACCCGAGCUCCUUCUCAUGCACACCCCUCGUCGAAGCCCAGGCCACACUCUAGCUCCUUUGGGCUGUCUCCACGCAGCCAACCCCUUUGUGCACUGAAGCCCAGGUUUCAGCACCCAGCCCCUGUGUGCAUGUCAGGCUGGGGAGUGCAGGGAGGUGGCCCUCUCCUUUCUUCUGAGCCUCUGAAGCUCCUUUCUGUCCCUGCUGAUCUCCCAGCCGUGAAGGUGCUUCCCGGGGUGAGGGAACCUUUCCCUUUCACAGCUGCCUCCCAGGGCCACAGGUCUCAUCCCAAGUUUUUUUUUUUUUUUUUUUUUUUUUUUAGUCUUUUGUCCUACCCAGUUACAUGGUCAUGUUUCUUGUAGCUCUGGUUGUGUGAGAUCGUCCAGCAUUCAGUAGGUAUUCUGGGAGAAUUGUUCCACUGUGUAGAUGUAUUUUUGACGUAUUUGUUGGAGAAGGUGAACUCCAUGUCCUUCUAUUCUGCCGUCUUGUUCUUCCACCUAUGAAUUUAGUUAUAAAACAAAAGCAGCCUCCAUGGAUCUAGACCCAUCCAUGAAAAGGACUUUAUGUCCAGUCUCUCAUGACAGAAUUUCUUUACCUUCUCUAAUGGACCUGAAAAAUACAGCCAAUAGAACGAUGAAAGAAAAACUUAAACAGGAGUUCCCAUCGUGGCGCAGAGGUUAACGAAUCCGACUAGGAACCAUGAGGUUGUGGGUUCGGUCCCUGCCCUUGCUCAGUGGGUUAACGAUCCGGCGUUGCCGUGAGCUGUGGUGUAGGUUGCAGACACGGCUCAGAUCCCUCGUUGCUGUGGCUCUGGCGCAGGCCGGUGGCUACAGCUCCGAUUUGACCCCUAGCCUGGGAACCUCCAUAUGCCGCAAGGGCGGCCCAAGAAAUAGCAAAAAUACAAAAAAAAAAAAAAAAAAAAAAAAAAAGAAAAAGAAAGAAAGAAAAACUUAAACAGUUUUACUUUAAAAAUUAUCACACCUCUUUUUUUUGCUCUUCUGAAACCUUCCAAAAGCUUCAGGUAUCUCUGCCUGGAUCUUUGUCUAAAUUAUUUACCACUGAUGUUUCCUUUCUGAUUGAUACCUGGGGGAGAUUAGGUAUUUUCACAUUUACCCUGAAUACUGCGCUGGCAGCCAGAGUUAUUCCCUACAGUGUGAAAACUUGGAGCCGUGGCCCAUGGAUUUGUGUUUUGAGGAAAUCCCUAAUUGCUGCUGAGAUGUCAGAUACUAGAGCUCCUCAGCCUCCCACAAGGCCAGCAGGUGAGGCUACCGCCAGUGACCGAGCAUGGAAAUCAGCCCCUAAGCCCACCUCCUGUGGCCUCUCCACCCUCUUUCCGCAUCUUGUUCCCACUCCCAGAUUUUCCGCAUCUGCACUCCCCCUUCUUCUCCAUCCCUUCCAGCCCCAUGACAGUCACAGCCACUUAGAGCUGGCUGAGAACUGGAAGGUCAUCUAGGACUCCCCAUUUUACAGGAGAGGACUCUGAGAUGCAGGGAAGGGAAGUGGUUUCUCAGCCUUGAAGCCUGGCCUGUAGAGCUCCUUCCUCCGGGCACCCCUGGGCUCACUUGCCGACUUGCCAUCUGUAGGUGGGAAAGUGGGAAGGACCAUGUCCAGCAGAAUUCCCAUAGGAGGACCCCUCGGUGUUUUGAAAGGGGAUUCUUUGAUAAAGCUGCAACUGGGGGAGGGUAACACAACCCCCUUCCUCAGGACCUGGGCAAGCAAUGAAAGACAAGGAUAAAUUAAGACACGUGAGGCUGGGAGAGAAAAGGCAGAAAGUUGGAGGGGGAAAAGAAAGAAAGAGCUCUCUAGUUUCAAAUAAGAAAAUGGCAAAAUGGGGUAAGUGGUGGUGGCUGUGUAUAUGCCCCCACCCCAAUCUGAAAUCUUCAGUAAAAUAAACACACAUAUUCAUAAAGCAUUUGGCAUGAGUGGGUUCACAGUGGAAACCAACACAGGAAACCAACCAAAGUGCUCAGUUUGGCAUUUGGCCCAUGCUGUUCAGAGAAGAAACAGUGUGUUCAAACAGGGAUCCAGGGGCCAAAAGAGGCCAUUAGAAUCAGAGUCUCUUUGUAAAUAUCUAAAGAAGGUUCCAGACUUGUUGGAAGUCUGAGCCAGUUGUGCCUGUGUCCUAAACGCAAGGGCUGACUGACACCCGGGCAUAAAGUUGGAGGACGCUAUCUUUGGGGAAGCAGAGGGAACCUUCCACAGUGUACACUUGCCCCUUGGUAGCCACAGGGGAUUUGUUCCAGGACCCCCACACGUCCCAAAAUCCUUGGAUGCUCAAGUCCCUCACAGAAAAUGGUGUAGUAUUUACAUAAAACCUACGCCCAUCCUCCUGUACACUUUUAACUCAUCGCUCGGUUACUUAUAUGUAUAAAAGGUAAACGCUCUGUAAAUAUUGUAAAUACAAGGUAAAUGCUAUCGUAAAUUUUUGCUGGUGUGUAGCAAAUUUUUAAACUUUCUGGAAUUUUUCCCCAGGUAUUUUCAUUUUACAGCUGGUUGAAUUUGAUGAUGCAGAACUUGCCGAUAGUGAGACCAACUGCACCUUGACCCACCUGAGGCCGGUCUUGAGAGUCUGGGUUGUGGCGUGAAGUACUUAACCUGGGCCAGGACUGAAAAAGAGGGGAGACUUGAGAGCCUGCAGUAAGAAAAAUAUUUAUACGUUUUAUUUCUUUAUUAGAUAUAUAUGCAAUGGAAUACCACAUAGCCGUUAAACAAAAUGGCAUGCCAUUUGCAGCAACAUGGAUGCAACUAGAGAUUCUCAUACCAAGUGAAAUAAGUCAGAAAGAGGAUAAAUAGCAUACCAUACCACUUAUAUGUGGAAUUUAAAUAUGGCAUAAAUGAACCUGUCUGCAAAACAGAAGUAGACUCGUAGACAUAGAGAACAGACUUGUGGUUGCCAAGGGUGGGGGAUGGACUGAGAGUUUGGGGUUAGUAGAUGCAAACUAUUACAUUUAGAAGGAUAUGCAGUGAGACCCUACUGUGUAGCAUGUGGAACCAUAAUCUAAUCUCCUGGUAUAGAUCAUGAAGAAAGAUAAUAUAUGAAAAGGAAUGUGUGUGUGUG